rnacentral:snRNA from 1 species
AUGCUUGCUUCGGCAGCACAUAUACUAAAAUUGGGACAAUACAGAGAAGAUUAGCAUGGUCCCGCAUAAGGAUCACACGCUUUAUAAAAAAAAAAAAAAAAAUUUA